GCCACUGUGCCCAGCCUUUUGGCUAAGAUCAAGUGUAGUAUCUGUUCUUAUCAGUUUAAUAUUUACUUAUUUUUAUUGUACUUUAGGUUCUCGGGCACAUGUGCAGAUCAUGAAGGGUUGUUGCAUAGGUACUUACAUGACAAGUUGG
ensembl:snRNA U2 U2 spliceosomal RNA